UGGCUGGGUCAUCAAAAGUUAUUUCUUGUUUCUACAGACGGUAACGCAGAAGGAAGGAAUUCUCACCUGACCCGGUUCUGAGCAAAGAAAACAAAAACUCCAGGAACAUCUGCUGAGAAGAAAAACACUUUUUGCAUACAAGCAGGAAAAUGAGAUGUUAUCCAGGACACUGAAAGAGAAUUGA
rnacentral:lncRNA from 1 species